CCUAAAUUAUUAGUAGAGUAUGUGCUUAAAACUUGAAGGAUUUGGCGGUGGCUUAGUCUUGUUAGAGGAACCUGUUUUUAAAUCGAUACUCCACGUAAAAUUUCACUCAUUUUGUUCAGUUUAUAUACCGUCAUUAGCAGAUAAUUUUGAAAAGAGGAAUUAUUAGAGUUUAUAAAGUAAAAAAAAUUAGAUCAAGGUGUAGCUUAUAAGUGAGUUAAAAUGGGUUACAAUAAAAUUUAUUUAUCACGGAGUAGUAAAAGAAAAAGCACUAUGAAGGGGGAUUUAAUUGUAAUGUAAAUUUAGCAAGUUUAAAAGAUAUAAGCUCUAAGCUAU
rnacentral:rRNA from 1 species